UGUGACUCGUCACACUAUCAUUAACUGAAUCCAUAGGUUAAUGAGGCGAACCGGGGGAACUGAAACAUCUAAGUACCCCGAGGAAAAGAAAUCAACCGAGAUUCCCCCAGUAGCGGCGAGCGAACGGGGAGGAGCCCAGAGCCUGAAUCAGCAUGUGUGUUAGUGGAAGCGUCUGGAAAGGCGCGCGAUACAGGGUGACAGCCCCGUACACAAAAGCGCAUGUGCUGUGAGCUCGAUGAGUAGGGCGGGACACGUGGUAUCCUGUCUGAAUAUGGGGGGACCAUCCUCCAAGGCUAAAUACUCCUGACUGACCGAUAGUGAACCAGUACCGUGAGGGAAAGGCGAAAAGAACCCCGGCGAGGGGAGUGAAAAAGAACCUGAAACCGUGUACGUACAAGCAGUGGGAGCACCCUUUGGGUGUGACUGCGUACCUUUUGUAUAAUGGGUCAGCGACUUAUAUUCUGUAGCAAGGUUAACCGAAUAGGGGAGCCGGAGGGAAACCGAGUCUUAACCGGGCGUUAAGUUGCAGGGUAUAGACCCGAAACCCGGUGAUCUAGCCAUGGGCAGGUUGAAGGUUGGGUAACACUAACUGGAGGACCGAACCGACUAAUGUUGAAAAAUUAGCGGAUGACCUGUGGCUGGGGGUGAAAGGCCAAUCAAACCGGGAGAUAGCUGGUUCUCCCCGAAAGCUAUUUAGGUAGCGCCUCGUGAAUUCAUCUCCGGGGGUAGAGCACUGUUUCGGCUAGGGGGCCAUCCCGGCUUACCAACCCGAUGCAAACUGCGAAUACCGGAGAAUGUUAUCACGGGAGACACACGGCGGGUGCUAACGUCCGUCGUGAAGAGGGAAACAACCCAGACCGCCAGCUAAGGUCCCAAAGUCAUGGUUAAGUGGGAAACGAUGUGGGAAGGCCCAGACAGCCAGGAUGUUGGCUUAGAAGCAGCCAUCAUUUAAAGAAAGCGUAAUAGCUCACUGGUCGAGUCGGCCUGCGCGGAAGAUGUAACGGGGCUAAACCAUGCACCGAAGCUGCGGCAGCGACACUGUGUGUUGUUGGGUAGGGGAGCGUUCUGUAAGCCUGCGAAGGUGGCCUGUGAGGGUUGCUGGAGGUAUCAGAAGUGCGAAUGCUGACAUAAGUAACGAUAAAGCGGGUGAAAAGCCCGCUCGCCGGAAGACCAAGGGUUCCUGUCCAACGUUAAUCGGGGCAGGGUGAGUCGACCCCUAAGGCGAGGCCGAAAGGCGUAGUCGAUGGGAAACGGGUUAAUAUUCCCGUACUUGGUGUUACUGCGAAGGGGGGACGGAGAAGGCUAUGUUGGCCGGGCGACGGUUGUCCCGGUUUAAGCGUGUAGGCUGGUUUUCCAGGCAAAUCCGGAAAAUCAAGGCUGAGGCGUGA
rnacentral:rRNA from 1 species